CAGCCGCCGCGGUAAUACCCGCAGCCCAAGUGGUGGUCGAUUUUAUUGAGUCUAAAACGUUCGUAGCCGGUUUGGUAAAUCCUUGGGUAAAUCGAGGCGCUUAACGUUUCGAAUUCCGAGGAGACUGCCAAACUUGGGACCGGGAGAGGCAAGAGGUACUUUUGGGGUAGGGGUAAAAUCCUGUAAUCCUAAAAGGACCACCGGUGGCGAAGGCGUCUUGCUAGAACGGAUCCGACGGUGAGGGACGAAGCCCUGGGUCGCAAACGGGAUUAGAUACCCCGGUAGUCCAGGGUGUAAACGCUGCAGACUUGGUGUUGGGGGCCCUACGGGGGCGUUCAGUGCCGGAGAGAAGUUGUUAAGUCUGCUACUUGGGGAGUACGUCCGCAAGGAUGAAACUUAAAGGAAUUGGCGGGGGAGCACCGCAACGGGAGGAGCGUGCGGUUUAAUUGGAUUCAACACCGGAAAACUCACCAGCGGCGACUGUUACAUGAAAGUCAGGCCGAUGACCUUACUAGAUUUUCAGAGAGGUGGUGCAUGGCC
rnacentral:rRNA from 1 species